GCCACUCGAAACUUUGCAUACCUCUACGUGGUGAGCGGCAAGCAACACGGCAUGUGUGCUGUGGCUGAUGCAGCU
rnacentral:ribozyme from 1 species